rnacentral:misc_RNA from 1 species
CUGCUGCGGCUCUGUCCCAUCUGCUGGUAGAAUUGGCUUAAAGCCUGAGAAUUAAACACCCCGGUAUGCCCAUCCUGAGAAAGCCCAAGCUCUAAACCUGGAACUUGCAGAUUAGUACCAUUAAACAUGGAGUAAAAACUCAUCAAACCCAUGUUAAUAUUUGGAAAUUCUACACCAUGGAACCCAAAUUUUGGCAAAGUAUUGGAGUUUUCAUUUCCUAAAUUGGGUGUUGACUGGCUUGCAUUUGAAAUAAAACCUGCCCCAAUUCCACCCACUGAGGGCCACAUCCCACUUGCUACGUUAGAUCUUCCCAAGUUACUACUCAUCAUUGUCCAAUUGGCCCUUUCUCUGGACCCAAUGCUCGGUCCCAGUCCUUCCAUCUUUGUAUGCAAUCCUGAAGAAACAGAGAUUCCAUGUUGAGAAACAGAAGCCCCUGCAGCUGCAAGAGUCGAGGAAGGAAUCGUCCCAGUACCAGUUACAGCAAUAAUCGAUGGUUCAGCUUGCUGUAAGAGCCAUUGAAUUGUUUCUCCAUCGGAUUUAUGACCCAAUUCUCUUGUCAAUUG